GCAUUUGCAUUAUUCGUUCUAUGGGUGGUCGGCUAACCCUUUGCAAAGGGGGUGAUGCCUAGUGACAGUAUUCGAGAGUUUAACGAUUGCAAUUUCUUUUGCGACGCUUCUCAUUGCUGUUCUUUCAUUUCACGAUAAAAAAUAGACCUCCCUUGUCCGGAAAAUGAGGGAGAGGUCUAUUGAUUUGGAUGGCCGAUCCCGUCAUUAGGACAAGAUGCAAAUGCCGCCGCAAGUGCCCCAGCGCUUGCG
rnacentral:sRNA from 1 species